ensembl:lncRNA
GUCAAGAGGGACAUGAGGGACUCCUUGUCCUCUCAGUAACACUGCUUUGCACUCACAGCCAAAGGCAGAGAAACUUCAUUCUGUCACUGGAUGCCCUCUGCGUGCAUCGGUGAGUCUCUGCAGGGCUGCUAGAAAGCUGUGCACGCAGAGCUCCACUAAUCUCAGGCUGAAUAUUAGGAAGGAAUUUCUCCUCAGAAAGAGAGGUCAUGAUGCCCAGGACCCUCUCUGGUUUUCCACAUCCCUCUUGACCCAAAACUGGACACCACAUUUCAGAUAUGGUCUCGUCCUCACCAGGCAGGGCUGAAAAACAAAGCUAUUGCACAGGAAAAGCAAUGCAACAGCUGCUUCUGACCAGUGAACUAAAGCCAUAACAAACAACAAGAAUUGUGGAAUUGUGUUUACACAGUGCAGCUUAUACCACAAUAAAUACUGCUUUACUCGUGGGAACCGUCAGGUCCAAGUGCCAGAUGUCUUCAUCAUUCUAGCAUGCAAAAAAGGCAGCAAGUGGUCUACCUGCAGCUGGAGAGACUUCUGCAUUAACUCCAGUGCAGUGGUUUGCAGUCAGUCCAAGAGUCCUGUGAGCUAACUGACAUUAAGCUACAAAUAAUUUCCCUUGGCAUUGGCAGCCCGAAUUUCCUUCCAGCUUCCACCACCACUCCGUCCUGGACAGUCCUCAUUCCUUUUUGUGCAGAUGCAUUUUGUAUUUUUGUGCAACCCAAUGGUGUAUGCAUUGCACGCAUAGCGUGAAGCAAUCUCUGCUCGAACUGUCCUGCAGUAGACCUAAGGGAUGACAGAUGAAUUUUUCUGAAGUUGAGUAUUGGGGCAGAGGCCAUUGCGUGGCAGUCAGAUUUCAGCAUUUCAGCACCUAUUUCAUUGUCAGGGAUCAAAUGUGAUUUCCAAAAGCAACUAAAUGAGAAGCAUUCCAGAUAAACAUUACUGCAUUGGCACCAAGGAGCAGCACCAUGUUGGUUUCCCAAUGGUUUCCCAUUUAUAUGAAAGGACAGUACAGAAAAGUAAGUCCUCUAAAAAACAUGUAAGUUCCCCUCUUCCACAGUCAUCAUGGCAUGAACUUUAUGGUAUAUGGCCUGGAAAGACUUAGAAAGCAAUUUCCACACUACAGCUGCACUCAUAAACAGAUUAAUCUAAACAACACUGGUGUUACAGAUGAAACAUUAUUAGCAUGUAAAAAGUGCUUGUUACUGAAGGCUUUUAUUUAUGUAAUAAUAAUAUAAUAAUUACUAAUGGAAGUCCUUAGGACUUUGCAGAUAAGAAACCCAGUGUCAUAUCUAAUAUUUUCAGGGUAUAAAUCCAAAGCCCAGACAAGCAAAGCAACAGGUCAGUGCAGAAAGAAUGCUUUAAAACUUUGGAUUAGUGCUGUGUCUGUUUCCUGUUCUCGGGGGCAGUUUAUGUAGCACCUGAAGCUUUCAAAGAAGCCUGUAAUCAUCUUUUAGCCACACACUUAAUUUGUGUUUAUGCCUCAUUCUGUUUACAUUCUCCAUGCUUCUAGUAACCCUGAGUUCCUAGAACACCUUCAAUUAUAUGUGAUGCUACACAGAUCCUUGAGGCAGCCAAGCAAACUCAAGCCCAUGAAGAGGGAAAGGUUUGGAUGCCCUGAUGCCUGCAAGAAGCCUUUUUUGCACCAUGGUGCAAAGCAUAAUUUGAGAAAACAUAUAGAGGAAAAAGUAAGAAACAGCAAGAAAGAACAAACCAGCCCUAGAUGAGUGAGAAACCUGUCUUUUUCCUGCAUUUUUAUCUAAAAAAUAUGUGUAAUUUCCAUUAAAUACAAUAAUUACUCAUUCCUUUUAAUGAUACCUUUUGAUUCAAAUGUUCUUUUGUUAUUUGUUCUAAGAAUAAAUCCUAGAUAAUUUUUCAAGGGAAAUUUUCCCUUGAGUUCCCAAGACUUUAGACUUUUUCCUGCAAAAUCCAGAGGGCUUGGUGAAAAGACGUCACACUGGGAGAUGAUGGCCAAGGUCCGAAGGACGGAGGAAGGAACAUUCAGUGGUGUAUAAAUCAGUUACUGGAAUGACCCAGAGGUCAAGGGAGGAGGAUGGAGCAAGGAAGGGAGGAGUUUAGGAAGACGAGAGAAAUGGUGUGAUAAGAAACUGGUGGAAGGGUCAGUGGGAAAGCAAAAUAGAGAAGUCUGUUAAGCUUGGCAGAUCAGCAGGAGAAGCUUUGUGAUUUGGGCCCAUUCUUUUCCUCCCAUGCAUUUGGGCAGGCAGCUCUACUAAAGGUUUGGAGGAGCAGGAUAAAGGCAGCAUAGAGGAUCUUUCAUCCAGCAUCUGCUUGAAAUGAACACAUGUUGACAAUUUAUUUCUACUGAAAAGCUGCAGAAGUCACUACAAUAACCCUCCUGUGGGUAUCUAUAAUUUCAUUACAUUAAGAUCACUGCCUUUUCUCAGCAAAGAAGUGUUUUUCCCGACUUGCUGUACUUCAUAAUGG